CACCCCCAUCCUGCAGAAAAGAAAAACUGAGGCCCAGAGAGAUACGGGGACUAGAAAAAGAGGCACAGGAUGAGGGAGGGGCAAGAAUUCCAUCCCAGCGUUUAUUUAUAGCAGGCUCUAGCCUAGAAGAGACAGAAGGGAAAUAGGAGCAAGGAGUGAGUUCUUUCUGAGUGCUGGGACCCAAAGGUAUAUGGUCCUCCCCUAGCUGGUGCAGGGGACCUGGGGUGAGGAGGCCCUUAGCUGGGCCUUGGGGGCCUGUCCUGAUAGUGCAGGAUGGGGAGAUGGUCUGGGUCCCUGAUAGCCUGUUUGGCUCCCCUGCAAACAAGAGCCAGGGCUAUGGGGUUUAAUCAGGGCCCCUGCAGAGUUGUUCCUGUUGGCAGGCAUCACAUGGAGGGUCCUUGGUAGUCUGGAGCGGGACUGUCGGGGGAGGGUCUCAGGUCUCUGGCUCAGGCCUAGCCUCAUGGAGACUUAAGUGUCUUGCAGUGCCCCUGUCCCACCAGAGCUGAAGAUCCCUGGGGACCCCAAGUGGCCUAGGUCCUGAAUCCUUGAAAGGGGGUGAAGGUCGACCAGACAGUCACCUGCACCCUCAAGCAGGGAGAGGACAGGGAGAACUUAUGGGAGAGGGGAAGGAUCGGGUGGGAGCUGCCCCACAAGUGUAUGAGUGGGACGCGGGGUCACGCGCACAAGCAGUCCACAAGCUGCCAGGCCCAAUGUGCACGUGUGCAUGCCAGGCCAGUGGACACCACCUGGGUACUUUGAACUUACUUCUCUCCCUUUAAUUAGGUUUUUUUCUUUCUUCCCUAGACAGGUUUCUUCAUCUGUCCUUUGUAUGGAUGUUUGUCCUUCUUCCUUUUUUUUGUUUGGUGUUUGGUUUUUUGCAUGUUUACUUUCUGUUUCUAUUAGAAUGUGGUUGGAUUCUUUUUGAUACACUUUUUAACUUUUGUGUCGUCUGUCCUUCUGACCUACAGUUUGGGGAUUGAGGUUUUUGUAGUUACAGCCACUUUUCUCUACCUGCUAACUUGGUGGGGAGGAGACACGGGAGUUUCUGUUAGGGUUCUCUGCAGCCUUUACUGGUAAACCUGCGUUCUGCCUUCUCCUGAGAUUUUGUGUAAUGUUCUGAUCUAGAUUUCGUUCUUCCUCAUUGAGGGCAUUUCUUAAUAUGGUGUGGGUACCUCAGUCAUUCUUCCAAAUUUGUGGAACUCUGGAAAAGAGCUAAGAUCCUGAGAGUCUGUGGAUGUGAUGGAACCAAAGAUGCGUCUUAGAUGGCCACUCACAAGCUUUUAAGACGCUACUCACCAAGAUCCUGUCACUGUGAUGCAAUAAGGUGGAUUAGCGACAAUUAUAUUGAUGAGGUCUACAAGAUUAGGUGGUGUCUUAAGCCAAUCUCUUUUGAGAUAUAAAAGAAAGAAGCUAGCAGAGAGACGUGGGAACCUCAUAACUCCAAGAAAGAAGCACCAGGAGCAGAGC